GUAAACGAUACUCGCUAGGUGUCGGCCACGGUGCGACCGUUGUCGGUGCCGUAGGGAAGCCGUGAAGCGAGCCACCUGGGAAGUACGGCCGCAAGGCUGAAACUUAAAGGAAUUGGCGGGGGAGCACCACAACGGGUGGAGCUUGCGGUUUAAUUGGAAUCAACGCCGGAAAUCUUACCGGGACCGACAGCAAUAUGAAGGCCAGGCUGAAGACUUUGCCGGAUUAGCUGAGAGGUGGUGCAUGGCCGUCGUCAGUUCGUACUGUGAAGCAUCCUGUUAAGUCAGGCAACGAGCGAGACCCACGCCCACAGUUGCCAGCGUACUCUCUGGAGUGACGGGUACACUGUGGGGACC
rnacentral:rRNA from 1 species